AAUCAACGCUGGCGGCGUGCCUCAGACAUGCAAGUCGAACGAGAAAGUCCCCUUCGGGGGGUGAGUAAAGUGGCGCACGGGUGAGUAACACGUAGGUAAUCUACCUUCGGGUGGGGAAUAACCCAGGGAAACUUGGGCUAACACCGCAUAAUGCAGCGGCACCACAUGGUGACAGUUGUUAAAGCGGGGGAUUUUAGGACCUCGCGCCUGAAGAGGAGCCUGCGGCGGAUUAGCUAGUUGGUAGGGUAACGGCUUACCAAGGCGACGAUCCGUAACCGGCCUGAGAGGGCGGUCGGUCACACUGACACUGACAUACGGGUCAGACUCCUACGGGAGGCAGCAGUCGGGAAUUUGGGCAAUGGGCGAAAGCCUGACCCAGCAACGCCGCGUGAAGGAU
rnacentral:rRNA from 1 species